GACGAACGCUGGCGGCGUGCUUAACACAUGCAAGUCGAACGGUGAAGGGGCCUGCUUUUGUGGGCCCUGGAUGAGUGGCGAACGGGUGAGUAACACGUGAGUAACCUGCCCCCUUCUUCUGGAUAACCGCAUGAAAGUGUGGCUAAUACGGGAUAUUCUGGGUCUGUCGCAUGAUGGGUCUGGGAAAGAUUGCGCCUUUGGGUGUUUUUGGUGGGGGAUGGGCUCGCGGCCUAUCAGCUUGUUGGUGGGGUGAUGGCCUACCAAGGCGGUGACGGGUAGCCGGCCUGAGGGGGUGGACGGUCACACUGGGACUGAGACACGGCCCAGACUCCUACGGGAGGCAGCAGUGGGGAAUAUUGCACAAUGGGCGCAAGCCUGAUGCAGCGACGCCGCGUGAGGGAUGGAGGCCUUCGGGUUGUAAACCUCUUUCGCCAGUGAAGCAGGCCUGCUACUUGUGGGUGGGUUGACGGUAGCUGGAGAAGAAGCGCCGGCUAACUACGUG
rnacentral:rRNA from 1 species